GAUGAACGCUGGCGGCGUGCCUAAUACAUGCAAGUCGAGCGAACAGACGAGGAGCUUGCUCCUCUGACGUUAGCGGCGGACGGGUGAGUAACACGUGGAUAACCUACCUAUAAGACUGGGAUAACUUCGGGAAACCGGAGCUAAUACCGGAUAAUAUAUUGAACCGCAUGGUUCAAUAGUGAAAGACGGUUUUGCUGUCACUUAUAGAUGGAUCCGCGCCGCAUUAGCUAGUUGGUAAGGUAACGGCUUACCAAGGCGACGAUGCGUAGCCGACCUGAGAGGGUGAUCGGCCACACUGGAACUGAGACACGGUCCAGACUCCUACGGGAGGCAGCAGUAGGGAAUCUUCCGCAAUGGGCGAAAGCCUGACGGAGCGACGCCGCGUGAGUGAUGAAGGUCUUCGGAUCGUAAAACUCUGUUAUUAGGGAAGAACAAAUGUGUAAGUAACUAUGCACGUCUUGACGGUACCUAAUCAGAAAGCCACGGCUAACUACGUG
rnacentral:rRNA from 1 species